AUAUGACUAUAACACAAGGACCAUUUUGACAUUUAAGCCUAUUAUAAUUAGGUUAUUGAAUUCAUAUCAUAUUCGGAUAAUAAAAGAAUCAUUCUCAUCUCUACCUUAAAAUUGGAUUGAAUUCAUAUCAUAUUCAGACUAUAAAGAACAAAAUACAAUAAUAAAGAAGCUAUUCUCAUCCAUUUAAGAUACUUUAAUUCUCUUUUUAAUCCCCUAUAAAACAACUCUUUAGCAAAGUUGGUCCUACAUGACGAGUCCAACUUGCGAGUCUACGAAAUUCAGUGAUAUAAUCAUUAAGAGUAUCUGUGUUAACGCAAUUUGAACAAAACUUCAACGCUAUCCUCAAACUUUGAGGAUCCAAAUUCCUGACAAAAUAUCUUUAUGAAGUCCUCCCAGCGUGAACUAGUCCGUAAACAAUCCAUCAAUCGGGACCGUUGCAAAGCGGAUUAGAAUACAAGGCCAUGACAACGGAAUAAUCCUAACAUGAAAGUUGCUCUUGCGGUGAGUCCACAUCAAGACAUUGAGGUCAAAUGCAUGCAGUGCCACCACGUUCCUUGCUGCUAAAACAUGCAAACUAAUGGUAGCAUCAUAUUU
rnacentral:lncRNA from 1 species